AGCCAGUUUAUUUGUGCCUCUAUUUUGAAAUAAUAUUUACAAAAAUGUUAUUGAUUUUGGUUUGUUAUAAUCUUUAAACUUUUUCAAAAGUAUAUGAUUAUAUUUUUGGACAAAUCUUUCGAUGAAACAUACAUUUUUAUGAGCUUUUAUCAUGUUUCAGCCGGUGCAUUUAUCAGGGUGGGUCUGGGUCUGGGAUGAUAAAUGCACUGGCUGAUAACUGCACAUUUCUGGCCAGAAAUGUUUCAGCAGUGUUACAUAUGCACUACAUAUGUUACACUUGCUUUCUGUUACCAGCUGAUACCCUACAUUUGUAUAGACAUGGGAUGGUGUGAGGCUGGGGAGUUGAGUGGAGUGGGUAGGUGGGAGUUGAAUGGGGGGUUACAGUGGGAGGUUGUUAGGUUUCUUUUUUUUUCUUUUUUCUUUUUUUUUGUUAAGAGAGACACAGUUCUGUGUCUUCUCCAAGCUUCACAUGUAAAAUCCAACAGUGUGAAGCACAUAGCAGCCAGAAACUGUAAUGCCACAGAUCAGAGAGGCUUCAUCAUCACCAUCUUCCCCGUACGAUCAGAGCGUGAGACUUCACAUCUGGAGCACAGGAGAGAUUCUGUGAUAAGUCCUCCUUCUAGCUUGUCCCACAAGCAGUCGGUGAGAUUUACUCACAACAAAAAGGGUUAAUGACAUUAUUUUCAUGAAAACAUGUAUUAAUUCUUUGUAAAGUGUUUAAAUUGUGUUUUCACUUGACCUUAGGAGUGUUAUGUUGAGUGUAUUUUAAUGUCUGUACUCAGGUGUUUCCCUCUGUGAUCCAUCCCCUUCAGAGCUGAGACACUCAGGACUGAACAGACUGCACAGUUUCUGUGACUGAGCCUCCAAAACACCUUCUUUGAAACCUCACAUGAUAGAAGGGCUUUAUAUUUGCAGCAGCACUACUAAAGUUGGCAGGAAUGUUGCUGCAGGAAAACAUCCCUGGAGAUCACCAUCAUUGUCAGACUGACUUUGCCUCCUCUGUGCAGUGUCAAGAUCCUCCUUAAAUGAGUGUUCCUCAGCCAUCCUGCUUCUGUGCUGCUUGCCACACAUCAAACAUUGGCCGGAUGACAGGGAGGAUCCACUCUGAAGUCACUGGACAUGAUGAGGAUCAUCUGGGACUUUAUUUUUUGAUUACAGGUUUUAAAUGGACAUAAUGACUGCCUCUCUCUGAUCAACAGGCUAAAGGAUUGUUUUCAUUGUUAGAGCUCUGUACAAUGUAUGCUUAUUUAAUAUUUCAUCACAGAGCAA